GACGAACGCUGGCGGCGUGCCUAAUACAUGCAAGUAGAGCGCUGAAGAGAGGAGCUUGCUCUUCUUGGAUGAGUUGCGAACGGGUGAGUAACGCGUAGGUAACCUGCCUUGUAGCGGGGGAUAACUAUUGGAAACGAUAGCUAAUACCGCAUAACAAUGGAUGACACAUGUCAUUUAUUUGAAAGGGGCAAUUGCUCCACUACAAGAUGGACCUGCGUUGUAUUAGCUAGUAGGUGAGGUAAUGGCUCACCUAGGCGACGAUACAUAGCCGACCUGAGAGGGUGAUCGGCCACACUGGGACUGAGACACGGCCCAGACUCCUACGGGAGGCAGCAGUAGGGAAUCUUCGGCAAUGGGGGCAACCCUGACCGAGCAACGCCGCGUGAGUGAAGAAGGUUUUCGGAUCGUAAAGCUCUGUUGUAAGUCAAGAACGGGUGUGAGAGUGGAAAGUUCACACUGUGACGGUAGCUUACCAGAAAGGGACGGCUAACUACGUG
rnacentral:rRNA from 1 species